rnacentral:sRNA from 1 species
UAUAGUGAAUAACACCAUGCUGAGACC